rnacentral:rRNA from 1 species
GAUGAACGCUGGCGGCGUGCCUAACACAUGCAAGUCGAGCGAUUUACUUCGGUAAAGAGCGGCGGACGGGUGAGUAACGCGCGGGUAACCUGCACUGUACACACGGAUUACAUACCGAAAGGGAUGCUACUACGGGUUAAUAUGAUUUUAUCGCAUGGCAGAAGGAUCAAAUCGACGGCGGUCCGGGAUUGACCCGCGUCUGAUGAGCUAAUUGGGAAGGUAACGGCUUACCAGGGCGACGAUCAGUAGCCGACCUGAGAGGGUGAUCGGCCACAUUGGAACUGAGACACGGUCCAAACUCCUACGGGAGGCAGCGGUGGGGUAUAUUGCACAAUGGGCGAAAGCCUGAUGCAGCAACGCCGCGUAAGCGAUGAAGGCCGUCGGGUCGUAGAGCUCUGUCCUCAAGGAAGAUAAUGACGGUACUUGAGGAGGAAGCCCCGGCUAACUACGUGCCAGCCGCCGCAGUAA